rnacentral:lncRNA from 1 species
CACCGUUUCUGACAGCCUGGCUCGAUACUCCAGAGUCCUUAAUAGUUAAUCCAAGGCAAAGUAGGGGAACCAAGUUAACUUACAGCUAAAAAUUAUGUGCCAGGGCAAUAAAUUCAGAUUCUCAGGAGGCUCUCACUACUUUACUGUCUUUACUUGGCCAAAAUAGGUGCAGAUUCGAAAACUAAAUAAAAAUUUGCUUCAUCAUUACAUUAUGGUCAACAUUAAAAAUGCAGUGCCGCAUGUCGCAUAUUUGAUUUGCAUUUCCAGAGACUAGGAGUGAAUGCACUUAAUUAGGACGACAUCAGCUGUGCGUCAUUCAGAAGACGACAAAAGUCAAAGCCCUCCUUACAAUUUGCUAUAUUUGCUUUCAUUACGCUCGCCUACGACUUGGUGGCACAGCCACCCCGGGGCCUAAGUGUCAGAGACGGUGCUCCCAACUGCCACCCCCAGCCCCUGCCCCUACGUCGGGGAAGAUGCAACGAGAGAGCGGGAGGCGAGGCCAGGGCCGCCACGAGCCCUCCCGGGACAUUCGCCCUCAGGCCUGGCUCGCUCCGAUUCUCCCGGCCGCGACGCGUUAUGGUCUCCGCUGCCGUUUGAAGAGCGUCGGCGCCUAAACCCGCAGACCCCGCGAAACUCAGCCGCCUGGUCAAUGAACCAGUCGCCCCCGAGGCCUAGUCAACGCGGAGGCUGAGCCAGGCUCGGCGUGGACCCGGGGCCUCCCUCCCCCCAUCCAAAGGCGAACGCCGCCCGCGGACAAGCCGUUAGCGCUCGGGCCGGGCCGCCGCCUGAGUCUGUACCUGCGAAGCGGGUCCGGGCUUCCACGGGAGGCGAAGCGGGGAAUCAGCGGCUGUGGGACGGCUGCGCUCAAAAGGUCCACCUCGACUCAGCUCUAAGACCUUGUGGCUCGUGCAGCCGGCCGGCGCGAUUUAAAUUUCCCGGUGACUCCGCAUUCCGAUUGGCUGGAUCUGGCUCUGUCACCCAGGCUGGAGUGGAGUGGCACGAUCUCGGCUCACUGCGACCUCUGCCUCCUGGGCUGAAACCAUCCUCCCACCUCAGCCUCCCAAAUAGCUGGGACUACAGACAAGCUGGCCACACUGGGAACCCUAUGAAGAAGGUGACAGGGCUGCAACAUGGAAGAAACCUGGGUCCCUGUGUCAGCUGAAGAGUCUCCAAACCCAUCCUGGGUUUACUUGCCUGUUCCUGAGUCUGCAGGUGGGACGGAUGUUCCCAGCUGCUGGUGGAACCCCCACGCUGGCUUUCUUACCCUCUGCGUCAGGGCUACGGUGGCAGGCUUGGCUAAAUCAAAGUCAAUGGUGCUCCCUUCCCCACAAAAAGAGUAACUCAGAAGCAAAACUGCAUCCUCGGGGAAACUGCAGAGAUCAGUGCCACAUAUGGAGACUCUUCAGUAAGGAACUGUCCUCGUUUUGAGAAAGAGCUCUUGGC